UGUGAUGGAUCCAGGACACAUCUAAACCCUGCAGGACACCGGCCCUCGAGCCCUGGGUUUGGACACUACUGAUCUAGAGAAAGUAUAUCAUGCCAAGAUAGGAAUUAUGAUGCUGUAUGAGGAAGUCAUGAGUGGCAGGUGGUUCAGGACAUACAUAGGACAGCCAUAAAAGGACAGGCAAGGCGGUGGUGACGUGUGCAGUAGGAAUAACAGGAGGAGAGAAGCUACUACUUGGCUACCACCUCCUGCAAAUGUCUUGCCUCGGCUCACAAGUAAGGAAUCUCCUCUUCCAAACUUUCAUACUACAAAUACAACUGCCAUUCCUGGACCAUCAAAAUUUAUGCUGCUCUCUCUAUUGAUUUGCAAGAUUUCGUGUGACACUGAAGCAACUGAUGUGAAGCGAUAUUAUCAAGAGCAUGUGUGCUCCAAGGAAAACACACUAUUGAUUGUGUGUUCUAAGGAGAAUCUGCCAGCUGAUGUUUCUACUGUAUGUUCAUGUUGGAUUGUUGCCCGGGCCAACAGUGUGUAAUGUGAAAUGCAAAGCAUUACAGUAUGUAACAGUUUGAAAUAACACAUGGCCUUUACUAAGUUGGGAAGAUAUGAUCAAAUAUAAAUUUACUGUAAACUUUUUAUAACAGUGUGGUGUGGUGCUGGAUUGAUUCUUAAAAUAGAAACUGAAACCAUUAAUAAUCCUGUAAAAUCUUUUAAUGAAAAAAUCCCAACAACAACAAUAAUCAGUACAACUUUUUAAUUUUCCAAAUUCCUUGCCAGCAACAAUCAACACAAAGGUUUCCAAACUCAAACAACUUUGACCUGUCAAAGACUAUAUUGAUGUUUGCUGUCCAAAAACUGCUACAUGAAAAAAUAUUCAAUUAAUAAACAUUGGAAGAAAUAAGACUACAAAAUUAUGUUAGAUUGUCUGUCUGUAGAUCUUUUAGACUUUGUCACAAGGGCAGUGUAACUGUAAAUAGACAUGACUGUUUUUUGUCUAAAAAAAAAAAAAACAAAAACAAAAAGGAAAAACAUAGACCAUCUAACAAUGGAGUACCUAUAAGUUCAAGAUACUCUUGGAUAACAACACCUUCAUCAGACUGAUUCUGGUUCUGGUUUAUCCAAGGGCUGGAGGGUGGUUUUAUUAUUUACAGUUAAACUGCACCAUUUAUGAUAACCUAAGAUAUGUGUUCCUGAUGCAGGUAAUGCACAUACUUCACAUUUCAGAAAUACUAUGCAUUAAAAAGUUGAAAUUUUCCUACACGCCAGGCUUUCUGGUGAUUAA